rnacentral:rRNA from 1 species
CACGGAGUUAGCCGGAGCUUAUUCUCCCGGUACUGUCAUUAUCAUCCCGGGUAAAAGAGCUUUACAACCCUAAGGCCUUCAUCACUCACGCGGCAUUGCUGGAUCAGGCUUGCGCCCAUUGUCCAAUAUUCCCCACUGCUGCCUCCCGUAGGAGUCUGGGCCGUGUCUCAGUCCCAGUGUGGCUGAUCAUCCUCCCAGACCAGCUAAGGAUCGUCGCCUUGGUGCGCUCUUACCACACCAACUAGCUAAUCCUACGCGGGCUCAUCCUCAGGCGAUAAAUCUUUGGACUUAACGUCAUCAUCCGGUAUUAGCAGUCGUUUCCAACUGUUAUUCCGAACCUGAGGGCAGAUUCCCACGCGUUACGCACCCGUGCGCCACUAUGCCCGAAAGCAUCGUUCGACUUGCAUGUGUUAGGCAUGCCGCCAGCGUUCGUUCUGAGCCAGGAUCAAACUCU